AGAGUUUGAUCCUGGCUCAGAACGAACGCUGGCGGCAUGGAUUAGGCAUGCAAGUCGAACGAAGCAGCAAUGCUUAGUGGCGCAAGGGUGAGGAACACGUGAGUGACCUACCCGCAAGUUUGGAACAGCUCCUGGAAACGGGAAUUAAUACCGGAUGUGAUCAUGAAGCUGCAUGGUUUCAUGAUUAAAGCAGCAAUGCGCUUGCGGAUGGGCUCGCGUCCCAUUAGCUAGUUGGUGAGGUAACGGCCCACCAAGGCCAUGAUGGGUAGCUGGUCUGAGAGGACGACCAGCCACAUUGGGACUGAGAACUGCCCAGACUCCUACGGGAGGCUGCAGUCGAGAAUUUUGGGCAAUGGACGAAAGUCUGAACCCCCAGCAAUGCCGCGUGCGGGAUGAAGGUCUUCGGAUUGUAAACCGCUGUUUGGAGGGACGAAAAUUGACGGUACUUCCAGAGGAAGCCACGGCUAACUACGUGCCAGCCGCUGC
rnacentral:rRNA from 1 species